UACGGAGGAUGCAAGCGUUAUCCGGAAUGAUUGGGCGUAAAGCGUCCGCAGGUGGCAAUGUAAGUCUGCUGUCAAAGCGUCUGGCUCAACCAGAUAAAGGCAGUGGAAACUACAUAGCUAGAGUAAGGUAGGGGUAGAGGGAAUUCCUGGUGUAGCGGUGAAAUGCGUAGAGAUCAGGAAGAACACCGGUGGCGAAAGCGCUCUGCUGGACCUUAACUGACACUGAGGGACGAAAGCUAGGGGAGCGAACAGG
rnacentral:rRNA from 1 species